rnacentral:rRNA from 1 species
GAUGAACGCUGGCGGCGUGCUUAAUACAUGCAAGUCGAGCGAACGGACGAGAAGCUUGCUUCUCUGAUGUUAGCGGCGGACGGGUGAGUAACACGUGGAUAACCUACCUAUAAUACUGGGAUAACUUCGGGAAACCGGAGCUAAUACCGGAUGAUAUUCUGAACCGCAUGGUUCAAAAGUGAAAGACGGUCUUGCUGUCACUUAUAGAGGGAUCUGCGCUGCAUUAGCUAGUUGGUAAGGUAACGGCUUACCAAGGCAACGAUGCAUAGCCGACCUGAGAGGGUGAUAGGCCACACUGGAACUGGGACACGGUCCAGACUCCUACGGGAGGCAGCAGUAGGGAAUCUUCGGCAAUGGGCGAAAGCAUGACGCAGCAACCCCGAGUGAGUGAUGAAGGUCUUCGGAUCGUAAAGCUCUGUUAUUAGGGAAGAACAUCUGUGUAAGUAAAUGUACACAUAUUGACGGUACCUAAUCAGAAAGCAACGGCUAACUACGUG